rnacentral:lncRNA from 1 species
GUUUGCUCUUUGUGCUAAGGGUACGUGUUCAGCAGAAGGAACUGGCAGGAGCAUGAGCUCCCUCUCUCACUUUGCAUGCUUGACCCUGAGACCUUGUGUUCUCCUGAAGCCUCUGCCACGCAAUUUCUUCCAUCUUCUUCCUGUCUGAUGAUUUCCCCUGGACUAUCCCAUGGGCAUUUUUAUGUCAAUAGAUUGGAAUGUUUCUCUUCUCACUGGGAAAAGCUCCUUUGGUCUCAGUGAACUCAGAGGUGGAGAAAGUCAUAAGAAUCAGGGAGCCUGCCCCAAAUCACUUCCUAUUAUAAUUUUCCACAAAGACUGGAGGGGAGGCUUAGAACAUCUUCCUGCAGCGUCCAGCAAGAGAGUGAGGCAGACUCCCUUUCUCCUGCCAAAGCCACGUGGAGCCAGACAGAACCACAAGCAUACCUGUGGUGCUUGGAGGCCCAAGUAGAAACUUGAAUGCUCACGGCUGCAUUGGCAGCUUCUACUUGCCUGCCUGGAUCACUGUUCCUCAUGAGAACCUGGAAAAGCAGGACUAUCAUGCUUGCUUGACAGACGAAGAAACCAAGCCUCAGAAAAAACUGGCAAUGAGAAUAGAAGAAUCACAAACAAUGUAGCAGGCCCUUGCCAAGAUUUAAAUACAGAAGAAACAUUCAAAAGGACGGUAUCAAAUUAUCACAAAGAUGAAGAAAGUAAUGACUUACAUUCUCCAUCCUCUGGCUGGGUGACUCACCAAAGUGGAAAAUAAAGCACUUGGAGAUUACAGUUACUCCCCAAAAGAGGGGGAAAGGGAUGGGCUCUGGAGAAGCCAAUCCAGUUACAAGUUAACAUGCCACUGGAACAUCUGUGAUGGGAGGUGGCAGCUAAAUGCUUCGUGUCUCUUUGUGUUCUCCAGAAUCUUCAAGUAAGAAAGUCCAGUCCUGCCUCAGCAUUCUUCAUCUGGACCGCAGACGUGUUAAAAAGCACCUAAUGCGUGCAGGGUAUCAUGUGAGGAUAUGCAGAGUUGAGAGCAGUGCUGUGCAGAUGUUUUGUAGGCUCCUACCAGUGAAAGUCUCGUCACAACUCUCUUCUCUUCAAGAGUCAAAAAGUCCCCACAGAGAAGACCCACAUGCUAAUCCUGAGCAGACCAUGCAAUGGAAGCAUCUUGAGGCAGAGCGGUGAAGUUGAAAGCCCUGGACUAGGAACUGGAGCUGUAGAGUCCUGCUGUGGUUCUGCUGUUGAUUUACUUGUUUAACUCAGAUGAAAUAACAACCUCUCUGGGCCUCUUAUCUGUGAAAUGAGAGGUUGGCUAAUGUGGUUUCCCAGGAAUUUUCUGGCUCUAAGUUACAUUCAAUUUCAGCAGAAUAUUUGUUUCUAACCUUUCCCAUGCUGCUGCUGAGUUGGCCUAAUUGCUAGCCAUCCACUGAUUUCAUUCUGCCCCACCCCACCCUCAGAUGACUCCUUCUUUCCACUUAGAGAUAACAGCAUCAAUUAACUCAGGAUAAUUUCCCUCACUGCCAAAACUAUUUCCAAAAUGCAAACUUGUGGCUGCUGAUUCAUGCUGCUAGAGAAGCACUGUUUCUUUCUGUCUGGCUUCAUAUGUAUUGCCUCUACAGGAAGAGACCAAGUCACUGGUAAAAAGCUAGGGUAACCAGGAAAAGUGGCUCCUUCAGAUGACACUGUGAGAGUCAACAAGGUAAGAAAGAGGAAGCUUUAAAAUCACCACCAUCAUCACUUCUGAAAUGUGGGAAGUUAAUUAUGCAUGGCGCUUACCCUUGGGUACCUUAAAAUUGAAAACAUGUAAGCAAAACACCAUAUAUGGCCUGGCAUGGUGGCUCAUGCCUAUAAAUCCCAGCACUUUGGGAGGUGGAGGUGGGUGGAUGGCUUGAGCCCAGGAGUUUGAGAUCAGCUUAUGCAAUAUGGUGAAACCCUGUAUCUACCAAAAAAAAAAAAGAAAGAAAAGAAAAAGUAAAGACACACACAAAAAUUAGCUGGGUGCAGUAGUGCGUACCUGUAGUCCCAGCUACUCAGAAGGCUGAGGCAAUAAUGCUUGAGCCCAAGAGUUUGAGGCUGCAAUGAGCCAUGAUUGCACCACUGCACUCCAGCCUAGGUGGCAGAGCAAGAUCCUGUCUCAAAAGAAAAAAAAAAGAACCAACAAAAAACAAAAACCAUAUAAACAUCAUCUUAUAAAGUGAAUAAAUAUAUAAGUGAUUUAGGAGUCAACUCAUAUUACUCAAGAGCAUCCUGUUGAGGCCCAAGUCUCAUUGACAAGAUCUAAUUGGAGUUUAUAUGUGUAAGCCAACACUAUGAGAUGAAUGGGAUGAUGAGCAGAAAAAGAGUAGGGCCGGGGAGGGGACACAAAGAGAGACAUUCUUAGCACAAUGCCCAAAGGAGCUCCUUCUUUUACAUGGCUAGAUGACAAGAGGAAGUGAUGAAGUCAUAAAAGGAGUCAAUGAGAGAGAAAGAAAUGGGUGAGCAAAGUUCCUCAGUAUCAAAGGAAAUGUAGUUCAAAGGAGGAGAGGCUGGUGUGAAGAGGAAAAUGACAAAGGCGAGUCAAAGAAGCUAGGCCUGGAAUAGGUUUUUGGAAUAACUCAUUAUGAGGUCACUGACAACUUUGUCAUGAGAGUUUCUGUGGAAUUAGAGGGCAGGAUCCAGACAGCAUUAACUUACAUAGCAAAUGUUUGGAAUGAAAGUGAUGUUUCUAAAGUUGAGACUAUUCUUUCAGAAAGAUUAACAGCAAAGUUUGGUACUCAAGAGGAUAAUAAAAACAAGGGUAAAAUUUUGAGGAGGAAUAAACCUCGACCUGAGGUUAAAACAAAAGUGAAGAACUGAUUGGAAGCAGGGCAUUGACAAUAAAUAGAAGAAGAAUGGCACAAUGGAUGAAGCAAAAACCAGAGAAACGAGACAAGGUCACAAUCCUAGGUGAAGGAAUGAGCGGAGAGGAGGGUAAAGAGAUUCUGAGUUUUCAAGAAAAAAGAAUAUCAGCAGAGAGGCAGAUAUAAAACUGGGCAGUAACUUUUAUGUGGAGAGUUUCUUGAAGAUUUCAAGCACAGGAAGAGGGAAGAAGAGCAGAGUGCCACGAUCCAUGAUCUAGACUUAGAAAGUUCCAGAAGAAGAAGAAUUAGAACAAGUGAUUGGCUUAUCUCCAAAUAUGUCCAAAGAUGGGACUGAAGACAUUGCCUCACUUGCGUAACAGGGAACAAUUUACUGUAAAACUAGAAAAGAUUGGCGCAAAGCUUGAUUCUCUCACCUCUUAUUACUGUUGUCUCCAUUUCUAUUACUUACAUGGAGGGGCAGGAAAAAGAACCCAAAACAUUGCUGAUCCUAGCAAGAACUUCUGCACAUAUGUGACCAACUGCUCUGUAGGGUGUAUAUUUGGCAACCCAGAGUUCUGCUGGUGUGACAUACAACCAUUAAAUUACCUAAAACUUCUCGUUAGCUAGAAAAUUGUUUCUACUUAUAUCAUUUGUAAGUAUACUCUAAUUUUUUGCUGACUGGAGACCUAUUUUGGGAAAUAUAUACAGGUCUACAACUCCUUAUUGAAACAGCACCUAAGUAAGGCUCAGCCUCUUCUACUGAGUUUCACACACUAUAGUAGUUGUCAAUAAACUUUAUUCUCAGAUAUAUAUUCAAAGGUUUUAAAGAAAAAAUAUAUAUUCUUUCAUAAAUUUUUAAGUUAAUAUCUAAAAUUUUUCAUUAACACUCUAAAUGAUUACAAAGGAUAUAAUUUUCCUGUGUUAUAAAUGACUGACGUUGAAAAAUAGAACCAUUAUUUCAGUUUUUGAAAGGUACUAAUGACAUCAAAAUACCAUAGUGAUCAUUUAAAAACAAUAUUUUGAUUGACGUAUAACAUUUUAAAAUGUGCCAGAUUAUGAGUGUACAUCCCACUGGUUCCACAGAGUUAAGACACUCAUUUAACCAGCAAACAGACAGUUUAAGAAGUUCUUUUUUGCUCCAAGACAGUCCUUUGCCUCAAAGGUAACAAUUAUUAUGACUUUAAUAUCACAGAUUAGUUUCCUGUUUUUAAACUUUAUAUAAAUGGGAUUAUACAGUAGUUAAUUCUUUUGAAUAUAGUUUCUUUUGCUCAGCAUUAAGUUUAUGGAAUUUAUUGUCGGGAGUAGAAAUACGUCUUUCUUCUUGCUGUAUUGUAGUCCUUAGUAAGAAUAUACUGCAAUUUAUUUAUUACAUUUUUAGUGUACAUUUGAAUUAUUUUCAAUUUGAGGCUAUUAUGAGUAGUGCUGCUGUACAUAUUUUUAUACAUCCUUUUUUUGUGAUGUAUAUAAACAUUUAUGUUAGCUAUAUGUCUAACAGUGAAAUUGUUGGAAGAUAGGCUCAUGCAUAUAUUCAGCUUUAUUAGCUA